rnacentral:rRNA from 1 species
CCUACGGGCGGCAGCAGUGAGGAAUAUUGGUCAAUGGGCGAGAGCCUGAACCAGCCAAGUCGCGUGAGGGAAGACGGUCCUAUGGAUUGUAAACCUCUUUUGCCGGGGAGCAAAAAGCGGUACGGUUACCGCAUCGAGAGUACCCGGAGAAAAAGCAUCGGCUAACUCCGUGCCAGCAGCCGCGGUAAUACGGAGGAUGCGAGCGUUAUCCGGAUUUAUUGGGUUUAAAGGGUGCUCAGGCGGCGAGUUAAGUCAGCGGUAAAAUUUCGGGGCCAAACGCGGACAAGCCGUUGAAACUGGCUUGCUAGAGUGGGCGAGACGUAUGCGGAAUGCGGGGUGUAGCGGUGAAAUGCAUAGAUAUCACGACGAACUCCGAUUUCGAAGGCAGUAUACCGGAGCCCCACUGAAGCUCAGGCAAGAAAGCGUGGGUAUCGAACAGGAUUAGAUACCCCUGGUAGUC